rnacentral:rRNA from 1 species
CGGCACGGGUGAGUAACGCGUAUGCGACCUGCCCGUUGCAGGGGGAUAAUCGGGAGAAAUCCCGUCUAAUACCGCGUAACGCCGCGGGGCUGCAUGGCCCUGCGGCCAAAGGGAGCGAUUCCGGCAACGGAUGGGCAUGCGUGACAUUAGCUAGUUGGCGGGGCAACGGCCCACCAAGGCGACGAUGUCUAGGGGUACUGAGAGGAAGGUCCCCCACACUGGUACUGAGACACGGACCAGACUCCUACGGAAGGCAGCAG